AUUGAACGCUAGCGGGAUGCUUUACACAUGCAAGUCGAACGCGUGGCGGACGGGUGUGUCAUAUAACGGAACGUGCCCAGUAGCGGGGGAUAACUACUCGAAAGAGUGGCUAAUCCCGCAUACUAUUGGCGCGGCCGAUUUCGGAUUAGCUAGUGGGUGGGGUAAAGGCUCACCAAGGCAACGAUCCGUAGCAGGUUUGAGAGGACGACCAGCCACACUGGGACUGAGACACGGCCCAGACUCCUACGGGAGGCAGCAGUGGGGAAUUUUGGACAAUGGGGGAAACCCUGAUCCAGCCAUCCCGCGUGUAUGAGAAGGCCUUCGGGUUGUAAAGUACUUUUGGCAGAGAAGCGGUAUCUGAAGAAUAAGCACCGGCUAACUACGUGCCAGCAGCCGCGGUAAUUC
rnacentral:rRNA from 1 species